UACGGGGGGAGCAAGCGUUGUUCGGAUUUACUGGGCGUAAAGGGCGCGUAGGCGGCCAGCACAAGUCAGUUGUGAAAUCUCCGAGCUUAACUCGGAACGGUCAACUGAUACUGCGCGGCUAGAGUGCAGAAGGGGCAACUGGAAUUCUCGGUGUAGCGGUGAAAUGCGUAGAUAUCGAGAGGAACACCUGCGGCGAAGGCGGGUUGCUGGGCUGACACUGACGCUGAUGCGCGAAAGCGUGGGGAGCGAACAGG
rnacentral:rRNA from 1 species